rnacentral:rRNA from 1 species
UACGUAGGGGGCAAGCGUUGUCCGGAAUUAUUGGGCGUAAAGGGUGCGUAGGCGGUUUGGUAAGUCUGAUGUGAAAUCUAUGGGCUCAACUCAUAGUCUGCAUCGGAAACUGCCGGGCUUGAGUAUGGGAGAGGUGAGUGGAAUUCCUGGUGUAGCGGUGAAAUGCGUAGAUAUCAGGAGGAACACCUGUGGCGAAAGCGGCUCACUGGACCAUAACUGACGCUGAUGCACGAAAGCUAGGGGAGCAAACAGG